rnacentral:rRNA from 1 species
UACGUAGGGUGCGAGCGUUGUCCGGAAUUACUGGGCGUAAAGAGCUCGUAGGUGGUUUGUCGCGUUGUUCGUGAAAACCUGAGGCUUAACCUUGGGCGUGCGGGCGAUACGGGCAGACUGGAGUACUGCAGGGGAGACUGGAAUUCCUGGUGUAGCGGUGGAAUGCGCAGAUAUCAGGAGGAACACCGGUGGCGAAGGCGGGUCUCUGGGCCGACUGACUGACGCUGAGUGCGACGAAGCGUAGGGAGCGAAACGGG